rnacentral:lncRNA from 1 species
GCCGGGUGCAUCUCAUAUAUGCGCCAAAGAAGACAACACAUAUACUAACAGAGUGUAUAGAGAUAAAUGUCACAAUAUCAUCAGAAUACUUAUUACAUAGCGAAAGUCUUACAAAAUAAAAGAUAAAUAUAAAACGAACUAAAGUCCAUCCUUGGCGCCAUAAAGUCGAUUGGGAGAUGCCACCUAGAUCAUGUCAAACUCCUCGUUGUGUGGCUCCUCUUGAACCACCUGUUCUUCUCCUAUGGGGGGUGUGAGACAGCAAGGGUGAGCUCACAUAUGUUCAUCGCUCAACAAGUUGUGGGGAAUAAUGUGCAUGAACUCACCAAAGGUGGAAGUUCAUGUGAUGUGUAAGGCUGAUCAACAAUAGGGGUUAAAGCUGAGCAUUGCUUUUAAUAAGUUGGUCAAAUUUUAUUAGUAGUUACUAAAUGUAAGUAAAUACCAAACCAUAAUAAGAAUAGAACAAAAUUAAUAAAUAAUCCCAUGCAAUGCAUAUGACAAAUUGAAUUUAGUUCCAUAAUUUAAUCAUGCGAGAGUCCCGAGCUGCUCUUGACCGUGAGCUCGGCUAGUAUACCAGUUUUACACUCUGUAGAGGUUGUACCCUGUACCCACAAGUCAUGUUACCCAUCAACCAUGGGGUUGUACGGGUCCCAUACACCUCUACCAAGGAAGCGAGGCAGGGUAACACUAUGAUGCCUUUACAAAGUUCCACUAGCUUCUGAAAACCUGCUACAGCUUCUGGGAAGAGCAAUUGUAGGAAUCCCUCGUCUGACCGCCAUCGCUGCAAAAUCAACCCGAGAACCUCCCUACAUGCCUACUCCCCUACUGCCCUUGCCCCUUUUGGGUAAGGUAGUCUUCCACUAGCUUUCCUACGAGGCCUUUACAAAGUCCCGAGCUCACACAUGUUCAUCGCUCAACAGGUUAUGGGGAAUAAUGUGGCAUGAACUCACCAAAGGUAGGAGUUCAUGUGAUGUGUAAAGCUAAUCAACAAUAGGGGUGAAAGCUAAGCAUGCUUUUAAUAAGUUGGUCAAAUUUUAUUAGCAGUUACUAAGUGUAAAUAAAUACCAAACUAUAAUAAGAAUAAUAGAACAAAAUUAAUAAAUAAUCCCAUGCAAUGCAAAUGACAAAUUGAAUUUAGUUCCAUAAAUUAAUCAUGCGAGGCCCUUAGAGUUUAUGGGAUCCCAUGUCGUGUAUCCCAUGUCGCCAGGGUUUGCAAGGCCCUUAGACACUACCGAGGUGAAUGGUUAGGGAUCCACUACGAGGCCUUUACAAAGUUCCACUAGCUUUCGAAAACCCGCUACAGUUUAUGGGAACAUCACUUGCAAGAAUCCCUAGUCCGACCGCCAUCGCAGCAAAAUCAACCCGAGAACCUCCCUGUAUGCAACUCCCCUAGUGCCCUUGCCCCUUUCGAGUAAGGUAGUCUUCCAGUAGCUUUACUAAUUAGUCAGCCAAGGGCGUCCCAUACCACCCUUGCGGUGGCACUGUUUUCCCGGGUAGUUCUCCAUGUUCCCAUUAACAUAAUGAUCUUAUCAUGAACAGUAAAUAAUAAACAGAUAAUAGAAGUGUGAACAUAAGUAAUGUAUAUCUCUAUACCCAAAACCACAUAAAGCAAUAACAUAUACUACCCAAAAAUUCAGGGAUAAAACAAGGUAUAAAGAUAGCCAAAACUAGGGUAACCUAUUGAAUCCCAUCAAAUUAACCUAUGCAGAUCAUUAUGAUUAAUAAGAACAUGACUGGGUAAAAAGGAAGUGAUCAAGGACACAACUUGCCUGGCACUUGAGAGUCCAGAUACCAGGAUGAUUCUUCAGAUCCUCGUGACCUCGCGCUAGUCGUAGCAAUACAAACAAACAUGGUAUAGACAAAAUUAACAUCACACCAAACAUAAGAGUAAACUGCAUAGUAACAAUCUAUGCGUCACUAUGAGAUCGUGGGAUCGAGAACUACUAAGAUCUGAGUCGUGGUCAUCAAGUUAUGAGGUGAUUAAAUGAUUAACACUAGGUUCUAUAUUUAUUUUAUAAUUCUAGAGAAAAGGUAACCUAAAGUAGUAACUAAUUCAACUUUAAUCUAAAUUAUAAAUUGAUCAUAGAUCAUCUUCUAUUACAUUGAUAAGCAAAUUAACAAGACUAACCAAUAUAAGUUAAAUAACGAUCUAAUUAUAAAAGAAUGAGACAUGGUAUAAUAAAUGUUGUUAUUGCAUAGUAAAUGUUUAUACAAGACUAAGGCAACUUGAACGGUCCAAUUCGGAGUUAAAGUGGGGAAGUUUUGAAUUUCCAAAGGUUUUAUGUAUUUGAUACAAGAUUAAUUAGGAGAUCAAUUUUAUUGUGGCUUUCACGUUGAAAAAGUGGCACUAAUUGAUAAACAAUAAUAUUACAAAAUUAUAGAAAUUGGAAUGGAUUGAUUUGGACUUCAUAUGAAUUUUAUAUGAAUUAAACAAGUUCUAGCAUUUUUUUCAUAUUAAAAAUCAUUAUCUAAUUACUUUUACUGGGUUUUAUAAAUCUCUGGACUGCGCCUCAAUAACAGGAAAGCACAGGGACUAAUGUAUAAACUUCCCUAGACUCAGAACAACUCAGAGGUGGACUACAGGUUUAUUAGCUGAUUCUCUAGGGUUUCUUUAGCAAAAGCGCGCGGCGAAGGGGUACGGGCGCGUCUGAACCACACGAUCCAAAUUGGACGUGCAAGAUUAGAUCCAGGUUUAACGGAACGGUACGUGAUCCUGACCCAGGAUACGCAAUCCACGGCCCAGAUUCCACUAUACUGUAUCGAUUCCUGAGCGUCCAUCCAUAGAUCAAUGGCUACGAGGUUUUCGGCUGAAACGUUACCCCUAAUCGAAUCCGAGCCGCAGAUCUCAUGAUCGACGGCAAACAACUUGUCUGCUACCCCCGCCAACCUGACUGGCGGCGCUAACACACCGCACGGCGGCGCCAUCGUCGGCGCCGAGUCAAUCCAGCGUCCCAGAAGGUAAUCCCCUCCCCCAGAACAUGCUACGCGAAGAUAGGAACAAGGCGAGGCGGUUGAGGGGUUUCUCACCAGAGAUGAUGGCGUGAGAGCCUCGGUCCGCGUGGUUAGGCAGAUUUGUGGCGGUGCUGCAGUUCCGGUGAGAAAUUCGCUGGAUGCUGGUUACUCUCCCGGCUUCAAUCCUGCCCGGCCACGAACUUCGUAUCGAGGCGAAUCUCACAAGCCACUCACUGACGAUGGAGUGCCGCCCGAGACACAGGUCGACGACGGCGGAUCUUCCUCACUCGCUCCCGGCUACGGCCGCUCCUAACUCCGGUGUUUAUGGUUCUUUGGUUAGCGCAAUAGGGAUGAGGAGCGACUGGGGCUUUUAUCGGGCGGAUUAGGAGAAGGGGAGGGUUGAGGUCAACUGCCCCAGAGAAGCGGCGCCGGCAUGCACGAAGUUCGUUGCGGUAUGGCCGGUGUGGAGUCAGUG